CCCUUAGAUGUCCUGGGCCGCACGCGCGCUACACUGACAUGUUCAACAAGUUUCUCCUAGUUCGACAGGACUGGGAAAUCUUUGAACGCAUGUCGUGAUAGGGAUAGAUCGUUGCAAUUAUUGAUCUUGAACGAGGAAUUCCUAGUAAACGCGAGUCAUCAGCUCGCAUUGAUUACGUCCCUGCCCUUUGUACACACCGCCCGUCGCACCUACCGAUUGAAUGUUUCGGUGAAGAUUCCGGAUAGGACUGAUUUGAUUUAUUUCAUUUCUGACCUAAAAGCUAUCUAAACCUCAACAUUUAGAGGAAGGUGAAGUCGUAACA
rnacentral:rRNA from 1 species